GAGUGGUCGUGUGUUGGUUAAGAGAACCAGUCUCGAGCAAUUAUGCCGGACGUUACUAAAUCCCUUUUCGGGUUACCCAUGCAUUAGGGUAGCGGGUCGCAGUAGAUUCUGGACCUACGCCCCUUCGGGGAAGCCGUCUAAUUGAGAGACGUUGCCGUGCUCACGGUGGAGAUGACGCCUGGCAAUGCCAGAAGACCGCCAAUAGAGUUGGCCGUACCCUUGAGGGGUAUAAUUAACAAUUGGAACGCAUGAUGGUUGAGUUUGAUGCACCGGAUUAUGAGACAAAAUUGUGUGACAUGGUAUGGGACGUGUCAUAAUGAUUUGGCCUUAUAAUCUGGACCCUUGUGAUUUAUUGAGUUGAGUGAUGUGUUUCAAUUGCUGGAUGUAUCGAUUCUAUACAUAAGGUAUGCGAAUUGUACUGACUUGCAGGUGGAAUCUGAGGCCAAGGUAAGUCAUCUGCCCUAUGCGUGUUUAGGUAGCCUAUAGUAUAAUGGUUUACUAAUCGGGCUUAGUGGGGUAGAACUCGCUGAGACGUAGUCUCAUCCCAGUUUGGGGAAAACAUUUCAGGACUCCGUUGAGGAGCUGAGGAGGAGGAAUCUGAGAAGGAGAACUCGGAGGUGAAACCUGAGUAGAAGGAUUUUGGUAGAAGAAGAUAAUCCCGAGAGGGGCCUUGAGUAUGGCCUGGAUGGGCUGAGAGUCUAUCUUCUUUUGAGAAUUCAUUUUGAUGUGAAUAGUUAUGAAGUGAUUUGUGUUUUGUAUAAAAGUUUGGUUAUAAAUUUCAAUAUGAAAAAUAUGGCCCUGCUUUUCUAUCCCAUCGUUUUAUUGUUUGGGGAUUUUAACUGCUUCUGCAUGUGUUUAAUAAAUGAAAGGGUCGGCGAUACAUUGUCCUGGGAUAUCGCAUUAUAAAAUCGACCAAGAGUGAAGGAUGUGCGCGUGCCCGAGGAUCGGGGCGUGACAUCCCCUUUUUGUGGUAUCAGAGCGAAGUUGAAGAUUGGAGUGAUAAGGAGCGUUGACCAUGGGAUAGUUAGUAGGAAAGGCCUUUAAAUUCAGCUGAUGCAUGUCUGUGGUAGCUGAAUGCUAGAAUUGUUUGUUGUGAGUGGAUCGCUCAUCUUCUAAUCCAGUGUGGGUUUGGAAGACGGGUUUCAGUGUAAAGACUGAACCAUGAGCGAGCAGGAGCUGAGAACUCCUAGUAAGAGGACAAUGUCCUCUGUGACUCGGGAUGAUGCACUGACAAAGGUCAGUACCCGAGGUGGUUGUGGCAGAGUGUUGGCUCUGGCCAGCUCGAGUGUAAGUGUACCACCGCAAGUUGGUACUAGUGUAGCAGCGUCGAAUGAUCCUAAGUUCGAUAGGAUCGUUCUGAUGCUAGUGUUCCUUGGGAAUUGGAUGAGCCAGAAGGCUCAGGAUCGAACCGCCAUCAGUGUUGCAAUUGCCGUUGUCGCUUCACCUGCUGAGAUCCAAAGUGGAGAUGUGAUCCAGGAGCGAGUCAUUGCAUUCGAGUUGAGGUAUAGAUCCAGUUCAGGCAGAAAUGGAAAUCGGUCAGGGAAAAGACCGAGGUCAAGAGAAAAGUAUUCUAUUCCACUCACGAGGAAGGAUGGAGUAGUCAAGUCAACACUGAGUCAAAUAGAUCAGGUUGUUUUCAGACGUGAUGAUGGAGAUCAGUAUUAUGUCCUUCAUAGGACGCGAAAUUGUUUGGAGUAUAGCCAACAGGGAUAUCUGGUCAGGAGUGGUCCUAGCAGAAUGAUGGGGCAACCAGAAAGAGUGCAUGCUUUCGCCUAAUAGAAGAUAGAAGAUGCACCAGAUAUGUGUCAGAAUUGUAGAAGGAAGUAUGGAUAAAUCCAGUGUCCAAGUAUGACUAGAACAUGUUGUGAUGAUGACUAGCAUGGCCAUCAGUUGAAGGAUUGUCAGUGGAAGUCCAAAGUAGCAUAGGCAUCGCUACUGCGGCCAAAACGCCACUAGGAUGGCGAAAGGAAUGAGAGUAGAAUGGACCUUGCACCGAUUAGAGAAAGAAUGUGUUGGGAGUGAUUUUAUCAGAGCAACGCAGUAGAGCUUUGUGCUGAGUUGGUAGAACUUAAAUUGUUGAAGUAAAAGUGACAGAGGAGAAAUCAUUAGCAACAUUUGUACUUGACUAGUUGCUGAGGUGUGAGUUUGAUGCCACAUGAAUAUGACACAUGAAUAGUGAGUUCAUAGAGCAUCUGGUGAUAAUGAAUCAUGGUCAUGGAACAAUCCAGUUUAGUCUAUUAGUUUGCGAAAAUGUCGAGAUUAUUAAGAGUCGAAAAGAAUCUUCGAUUUCAUUAAUCUUGCUGGCUGAAGGUAACUUGUUUGUUAGACGGAGGUUACCAAGGUUGCUUGCGCGAGUGUCUUGGGUAAGACAGAUUGGAGAACUAGAGAUGGAGGACAUCUCAGUGGUCUACAAAAUUCUAGAUGUGUUGUCACUAGAACUGUUAGACCGUCGUCAGAAAAAGAAAUAGAAAGUGCAAUCGAGCUAGCACUAGGAUGGAGCUACUCUCGAAGGCUUAUUACCAGUUGUUGUUGUCUGAACUGGUAGAAUUGAAGAUGCAGAUGUGAAGAUUGAUGAAUGAGGUAUUCGUGCAUAUCAGUGCAUCAUUUUGGGGAAACAUCAGUUUUGUUUGUGAGAAAAAGAAAGAUGGUUUGUUGCAAGUAUGCCUCGACCAUCGUCAACUCAAUUAGGUGACAAUCAAGGACAAGCAUCCAUUGUAAAAGAUCGGCGAAUUGGGUAACCAGACAUCAAGAGUGUCGAUGUUUUCAAGGAUCAACUUGAGAACAGGAUGUUGUCAGUUGUGAACCAGGAAUGAGGUUGUACGAAAGUCAGCUGUUCGUACUUGAUAUGGUCUUUAUGAGAGUAUUGUAAGAUUGUUUGGCUUGGUGAACACUCCAGUUGCUAUCAUGGAUUUGACAGAGUGUUCAAGGAAUAUCUAGAUCAGUUUGUGAUCGUGUUCAUUGAUGACAUCUUAGUCUAUUUGAGAAGUGAUGAAGAGCAUGAGAAUCAUCUGAGAUUAGUGCUUCAGACCUUAAGAGCUCAUCAGCUGUAUGCUAAGUUUAGCAAAUGCGAGUUUUGGUUGACUCGUGUUGUGUUCUUAGGUCAUGUGAUUUCCAGAGAAGGAAUCUCUGUCGACCCAAGCAAGAUAGAAGCCGUGAUUAAGUGGCCGAGACCGACAACAGUGUCAGAGAUCAGAAUUUUUCUGGGGUUAGCAGGUUAUUACAGACGGUUUGUGGAAGGGUUCUCAUUGAUAGCGUCGCCUCUGACAAAGUCUUGAAGAAAGAAGAGAAAUUUGUAUGGUCAGACAAGUGCUAGCGUAGUUUCCAAGAGCUGAAGGAAAAGCUGACUACCGCACCUGUGCUGACGAUUCCAUCUGGUCCUGGAGGAUUCGAGAUCUAUAGUGAUGCGUCAUUCAGGAGAUUGGGUUGCGUGCUGAUGCAACAGGGCAGAGUUGUUGCAUACGCUUCCCGGCAGUUAAGACCUCAUGAAUUGAAUUAUCCAACACAUGACUUAGAACUCGCAGCCAUCAUAUUUGCGUUGAAUAUUUGGAGGCGCUACUUGUGCGGAGAAAAGUUUCAGAUCUUCACAGACCAUCAGAGUUUCAAGUAUUUAUUCUCUCAAAAAGAGUUGAACAUGAGACAGCGACGAUGGAUGGAAUUGCUGAAAGACUACGACAGUGAUAUUCUAUAUCACCCAGGAAAGGCGAAUAAGGUCGCCGAUGCAUUAAGUCGGAAGUCUUCAAUAGAGCAAAUCUUGGUUAAGAAGUAGAACUUAAUCGAGAGAGCUCGGGAUUCGGAAUUCAAAUUUGAGGUAGGCCACCUCUCAAGUCUUAUGGCCGCCCUCAAAAUUGAACCGGAUGUCCAAGUCAGAAUCAAAGAACUCCAAUCGACAGAUCCAGAUGUCCAGAGAAUUCUUCAAGAGGAUACCGAUAAAAGACAAGCUGAUUUUCAAGUUUCUAAUGACAAGACUCUAAGGUUUCAAGGAUGUUUGGUUGUACCUGAUGAUGUCGAGCUUAGAGAAGAGAUUUUAUAUGAAGCACAUCGUAGCACUUAUAGCAUUCAUCUUGGAAGUACCAAGAUGUAUCAGAAUCUGCGUCAACACUACUGGUGGUCAGGUAUGAAGGCGGACAUCGCCAAGCAUGUGGCCAAGUGUUUGACUUGUCAGCAAGUAAAAGCCCAGCAUUACAAGCCGGGAGGACUUCUGCAACCUCUUGUGAUCCCAGAGUGGAAAUGGGAGCAUAUCAUGAUGGACUUCGUGAUUGGACUACCAAGGAGUCAGAAGGGGAAUGAUUCGAUUUGGGUAGUAGUCGACAGGCUGACAAAGUCGGCUCACUUCAUUGCAGUUCGAAAGGACCUGAGUCUGGAUAGACACGCAGACCUGUAUGUGCGUCAAGUGGUUCGUAUGCAUGGAGUGCCGGUUACGAUAACAUCUUAUAGAGAUCCGAGGUUUACGGCUGCUUUUUGGAGGAGCUUGUAGAGUGCUUUAGGUACAAAGCUUCGUUACAGUACAGCGUAUCAUCCUCAGACGGAUGACCAGUCUGAAAGGACAAUUCAGACUCUUGAAGACAUGCUGAGAGUGUGUGUAAUAGAUGUCAAAGGAAGUUGGGAAGAUCAGCUUCAUCUGGUGGAAUUCGCCUACAACAACAGUUAUCAACAGAGCAUCAAGAUGACUCCUUUUGAAGCGUUGUAUGGCAGAGCAUGCAGAACUCCAGUGUGUUGGGAUGAAGUCGGAGAAAGGAAGAUAACAGACCCAGAGUUAGUUCAGCAAUCAGUAGAUGCCGUGGCAGUGAUCAGAGAUAGAUUGAAGACAGCGCAGAGCAGGCAGAAAAGUUAUGCAGAUAAGCGCCGAAGGUCUUUGAAAUUCCAAGUUGGUGAUCACAUUUUUCUGAAAGUGUCACCAAUGAGGGGAACUUCGCGCUUUGGUAAGAAAGGCAAACUGAGUCCGAGGUAUGUAGGUCCGUUUGAGAUUCUUGAAAGAAUCGGAAACCUAGCGUAUCGUCUUGCAUUGUCGCCAAGAUUGGCGCAAGUGCAUGACAUCUUUCACGUGUCGAUGUUAAGGAAGUACAAGCCUGACUCGACCCAUGUGCUCAAUUUCGAAAAAUUGGACGUGGAUGACCAUGUGUCAUACGUUGAAAGCCCGGUCCAGAUUGUCGAUCGUAAAGAGCAAGUUUUGCAUACAAAGACCAUUCCGUUGGUCAAAGUGGUCUGGCAACACCACGGCACUGAAGGAACGACUUGGGAGACAGAAGAAUCGAUGAGACAAUUGUACCCCCGCCUUUUUAAUCAAAGUGUGUAAUGGCUUAAAUUUCGAGGACGAAAUUUUUAUAAGAGGGGAAGAGUUGUCAUAUCCUGAAAUUCGACCCCGUUUCAAUAAAGUUAAAUGGGCAUUUCGUCGACGUGCCUAUGGCCAUUUUUCUCUGAGCUGAUCACUCACGAGUUAACUAAUCUAUUGGGUAAAGCCGUUAAGGGAUGUAUCAGCAGUAAAAUCCCUAAAAGCUAAUCCCUAAAAGCUACCUAAUUGGUUGGAUUUGGCUAAAAUCACGUCUGAUCGAUUUUUAACCACGAAAUUGAACUCGAUUUCGGGAAUCGAAUUUUAAGCGCGUCAUAAUUCUUAUUUCUAGGAUCUUGUCUCAUCAUCCGUCAAAUUGUUGACGAGUUCGAAAUUUCAGGAAACAAAUUAUCGGAGGAAAAAUCGAAGUCCAAAAGAAAAUAGAAAGGGAAAGAGAAAUGAAAUAAAAUAAGUGGAAAGGUAAUAUCUUAUUUCCCUCUCUCCCUCUCUCUUCUUUUCUUUCUUUUCUUUCUUUUCUCUUUUCUCUCUCUCCUUUCCCCUUUCCCUUUCCCCUCAUGCGGAUAGCCUCCCCACCGCCCACCUUCUCUCCCUCUUCUUUGACCGGUCAAUGCAUAUCCUCUCCUCUCUCUUCUCUCUCUCUCUUCUCUCUCCUCUCUCUUCUUUCUUCUCGCACGCUCGACCGAACCAGCUUCUUCUUCCCCUUCUUUCUUCGCGAGCGAACCAGAACCAGAAGCAGAAAAUCGGAGACAGCAGCUCGCCCCUCAGCCGUCGCCGCUCGUCUCGCCGCCGCACCGCACGCCCGCGCCCGCGCUCGUGCGCACGCCGCUCGCCGCCGUGCGCCGCCAGCCCUUUCCUCCGCCCAGACGUUCUUCCCCCAAGUGGACCCAGCUUUGUUCGCCUCUACCCAGCCUCCGUCCGGCCACCUCCGGCCACCGCCCAGCCUCGCCGGACCUUCCCGGCGUCCCUCUUGCUCUUCGCCGGCCUCCCCUCGUCGUUUUGGCCGCCGGAUCUGCUCUGACCAGCCAAGGGCAGAGACCCACGAAAUGGGUUUCCAGCACCUUUGAGCUCGCUUUUGGGCCGUUUCCCGGCCCCGAACCCGAGCCGUGCUUUGGGAACAAUCGUUCCUCGCGUCGCCGCCGUCGGAUUGAUCCGAUUUGCGCGCGAUUUGGUGAGUAAUCUCACUAAUCUUGGAUUAGUUGACUAAUUAUGCUUUAAGGUUAGUUUAGUUUUAAUUAAUUAUGUUUAGGUUGUUAGAUUAGAAUAAAUUAGCAAUUAUUAGUCAAUUGUGAUGUGAUUUAGAUAAAUUGAUUGUGCAAUUAACAAGUAGACGUGGUCUACUAUUUAUUGGAAGCAUCUUGGGAAUUUUCCGACCCCUAAUUGGGCUUCAAUUUGGCGAUUCGGGCCUAAGUGUGAUUUUUGGCAUUUAAAUAUUAUUUUUCGGAAUUAAAUUAAUUAAUUAUUUAUUUUCCGAAAAUUCAACUGAGAUGGUCUGGAACCGGAAUUUUAUGCUGAUGACUGUGGUAAAGUCCGUUUAUUUAAUUGGGCUUUAUUUUGUGCUAAAUUGAAUUUUUAAUAUUAAUUAUUUAAUUUUCGAAAUUAAUAAAUUAAAUAAUUAUUUUUCGGAAAUUAAGAUUUUGAUGGCCGAUGACCGAAAUCUCGUGCUGAUCAUCGUGGCGCAGUCCGUUUAAUUAUUUGAGCUCCACGUUGUAUGGAAUUAAAUAAAUUGUGAUAUUUUAGAGAUUUACUCUAAAUUGAUUGGAAUUGAUUGAGACUGAAUUAUGGAUUGGUAAAUGGCGUGGUUAAAUUCUGCAAUUGAGUGUUAAAUUAUGCAAAUUAAGUGCUGAUUGGAUUCUUGGUAUUUAAUUCCAAAAUUUGUGGAUUUUGAUAUUUAUUCAGAAAAUCCCGGGUGUCGGGUUUUAAUACCGAAAAUGGAUUUUAAGUACUAUAUCAAAUAGUGGGGUUUGAAAAAGACAGGUAUCAGUCUUCUGGUUCGAAUUGACCGUGUACCCACACACGACUAUUUUCAGGAUAUUUUUAAUACGAAGGAAAUAGGCCAGGAUCACUAUUUUAAUGGAGGCAUUUGAGUGCAAUGCACAGGGUCCUGGGCCGAGAUUGAGGGUCGUGUGUUGGUUAAGAGAACCAGUCUCGAGCAAUUAUGCCGGACGUUACUAAAUCCCUUUUCGGGUUACCCAUGCAUUAGGGUAGCGGGUCGCAGUAGAUUCUGGACCUACGCCCCUUCGGGGAAGCCGUCUAAUUGAGAGACGUUGCCGUGCUCACGGGGGAGACGACGCCUGGCAAUGCUAGAAGACCGCCAAUAGAGUUGGCUGUACCCUUGAGGGGUGUAAUUAACAAUUGGAACGCAUGAUGGUUG
rnacentral:lncRNA from 1 species